rnacentral:rRNA from 1 species
UACGUAGGGCGCAAGCGUUGUCCGGAUUUAUUGGGCGUAAAGAGCGUGUAGGCGGCUAGAUAGGUCCGUUGUGAAAACUCGAGGCUCAACCUCGAGACGCCGAUGGAAACCAUCCAGCUAGAGUCCGGAAGAGGAGAGUGGAAUUCCCGGUGUAGCGGUGAAAUGCGCAGAUAUCGGGAAGAACACCCGUGGCUAAGGCGGCUCUCUAGUACGGUACUGACGCUGAGACGGCGAAAGCGUGGGGAGCGAACGGGG